CCGAGAGGAGGGGCUGCUUGCCUCUCUCCUGCAGCAGAACCUCAGCAGGCGGGCAAGGCGCAGAGCUUCAGGGUUCCCAGCUCCCAGGGGCUGUGGGUUUAGGCAGCCUGGGAGGAGUUUCUGGGACUGCCCGGUAUCGGAUCUGGGUGGGACACCCUGCACUCAAUCAUUAGUCCCCUGAAGCUCUGACAGCAGCCAGCCAGCAUCAGAGCCUUGGCCACAGGCUGGACUCCAUCCUGGGGCAGAUUCUCAGGAAGGAAUCGCAGGAGACCCAGUCCGCGUGUACAGUCACCCUGGGACUAAUGAGGUACACGUGAGAGUGAGAUAGACGCUGGGGCUUCCCUGAGCAUCAGCCUCAUGCUCCUCUGAGUCUCUUGUCAUUUUGCUCCUCCUGAGAUGGGGGAAGCAGGUGGAAAGCCGUGGAGGCUACAGGUCUCACCUGCUCUAUCAGGCCGCUUCUCAUUUCAAGUUCACAUUUCCCCCACAAUAUCGAACCAACCGCAAAGAGCUGGGAUCCAAACAGUGGCUCCCACUUGCAGAACACACUCAGCUUAGUUAGGGCUGAGUGGAUGGGGGAGUGAGAUUCAUUACCAGCAGAUGGGGAAACUGAGGCAAGAUAGUGUCCUCAAAGCCUGGACUGAGACUCACUCCUGUCACUAUUUAACUCCCCCAGCCCCACCCUGUUUAAGGAGAAAGGGUCUUACUGCACAUUCUGGGCUAGCCUAAAGCUUGAACUCCUCCUCCAUCUCCUUCAGGAUUAUAGGGAUGCAUCACCAUACCAGCCUAGCUCUUUAUUAUAUUGAUGGUCAAACCAAUAAGGAGCACCCCUGACCUAUGGCCUCUUCCUCAGCUCCUGCCUCCAGGUUCCUGCUGUUUCAGUUCCUGUCCGGACUUCCUUUGAUGCUGAACAGGGUUACGGAUGUGUGAACAGAAUAAACACUUUCCUCCCCAACUUGCUUUUUGGUCAAGGUGUUUCACAGCAGCGAUAGAAACCCUAAGACAUUUGAUUUAUGUUUGUUUGGUUUUUGUUUUGUUUUGAAACAGGGUUUCAUACUGUAAUCUAGGUUGGCUUCAAACUUGUGGCAAUCCUCCUGCCUCAGUCUGGUAUACUAGGAUCACUGUAUGAGCUACCAGGCCUGACUUAGAAAGGCAAACUCUUGACUCACUCCUCUGUGGCUUAGGGGUGUGGCUCAGGGGGCCCUGUGCUUACAGCCCUCUCUACUGUGCUAAGUUUGAAAGCCAUUGGCUGGAUUGGCAGGGGGUGGAGUGAAAGUGGGAUGGCAGGUCUGCCCUUUUUUAAUGGGCCAAAGGAUCAGACCCUUUCUCCUCCAGGAAGCCUGAAGAUCUUGCCUCUGUGGUUCGUGGGUAAGGGACAUAGACAGGUGACCUGGCAGUAGGGGAAUAGGAUUCACUGUCCCAGGGCAGGUUUGUGUUAACUCAGGCCUGUCCAUUUGUGGUACCUCAGGGGUCCAGAGACAAAAAUGGAUUCUGUUUUUUUUUUUUUUUUUUUUUUUUUCUCACUAACCCCACAGUUUACAGAACCACAGGCUUCUGAUUAGAAUGGGUGGUCAGCCGGUUUCUCAGAUAGUAUUUGCCUGGCAGGGUGAACUUUGUCCUGGCAGCUGCUCCUACAUUCCAGGGAGGCCCCUGAGCUGACUAAUGGUCUCCUGGGAGGGGACUGAUGGAACGCUUCCGGGUCACUGGGUACAGUGGUACCUGCUUCUCACAGCAGCCUCAGAAGGUAUAGUGUCUUCCUCACAGGAGUUAGAAAACAGCCUAAGAGCCACAGCUCAACACCACAGCCAAGGCAGAAGAGCCAGGAUUCAGGUUCUGAUCUACCUCUUUCAAAAACCGGUCUUUCAGCUGCUGGAAAUAGUUGCAAGGUGUCGGACCUGCCUAGGAAUGUGUCCUUUCAGCAGAAGUGGAAUGUUUUCCACGGUGACAGACAGGGCCAGAGCAUGGGGGACAGGAAGAGGUUCUUCCAGCCCUGCCGGGGUACUAGUGUUCUCAUUUCCCUGCCUCAACAGGUAUAUGGAGUAACAGAAAUGUGAGGUCCCCUGCUCCAACUAGGGAACCCAGGUCACUGAGCCAGCCUCUGUAUCUGUGAGUGUCUACGAAGCUUGAGGCAGGGGUAGCCAAUGGGCUGGUGGGAGAGGUUUAGGAUUGGGCGUGAUGCCUUGGAAUGGGUGUCUGUCAUCAUCCUGGAUUCCCCAGAGAAUUGCCCAGGGAGGACUUCAAGCUCCCUGCUCUCCCUUAGUCUGUCAAAUCUUCAGGCCCUGUGGGUCGUCUUUGCUUCACAAGGUCCCCACACUGAACUGUGAGGAACCACAUUUCUAUUUCAUUGCUGUGUAUCUAAGGCAGACUCCACGGUCUGCAGUGGCUGUGGGCCCGAGCGAGUCCUGUGCCCUCUCAGAGAAGAACUGUAAGCCAACUCUUCCCAGCUCCCCAGUGGCUUCACUGUGGAUACCGUUUCUUCUGUCAGACAUAAUUGAGUCAGAUGAUGCUGAAAACAACUGACCCCUAGGGUCCUGUGUCUUCGGGACUGUGGAGACCCAGCCCUCAAGGUUACCAGAUGGGUGGGAAGAGAAGGCGGCGGCAGCCCCAGGAGCAAUGAGCAGCAAAGGGUCUUCUUAAUGUGAGGGCUUCUUCACACAAGGCCUGGUGCACAGCAGGAACCAGAUAAAUGCAGAGAAAUCCAGGAACCACCUUUUGGGCUCCCCGGGGUCUCUCUAUUAUUUGACAGGAUAACCACAAGACAUCUCAGGCAGAGAUCCAGAUCCAGUACUGGCAUCUGUGAAGUCUGCAUGGAGGCCAGAGACAAGCAGCUUGCUAAAGCCACGCAGCAAACACCAGUAUCAGAGCCUCUUAAGCCCAAGGCCCUGCCUGACUCUGAUUGCUGCAAUCAUCACUGUUAUCCUAUUUACUGAGCACCUAUGCCGUCCCGGGUACCUGUGGUGACUAUACAGACAGAGAAGAGCUGGUCUCCGUUUGCUACUCCCAAACCUUUGCCCCCAUGACCACCUCUUCUAGGAAGCCUUCCUUCCCCAAACACCUCCUGAGGUCAGCAAAAGACCUUGGUAGCCAUAAGACUCCCUUCCAGUGUUAUUCCACAGAAACAGCAUUGUGGAGAGAGAUCUCUCCUGUGGGUGGCCCUGACACUGAGGUUCUGAGCCUUAAACUCCCUCCAGGCCUUUUAAGCACCACACUGUUGCUGUGACCUCUGACCAUAACCACACUCAACACGCACAGCACUGGCUAUACUACCCAUGCCCAGUGGCCUGGCAUUUGACUUCAAAACUGGUGGUCCCAGCUCACAGCUGUGUUCAUGGCUACACCUAGCUUGUGGGUGGAGGAGGCUUCGUAGGUGAGAAAAUGGAGGUUCACCUAUGGCUAUCUCUGUGCAGGCCCUUUCUAGGAACUUUGUAAGCAUUGGCUCUUAAUUAUGUCAUCAACCAAAUGGUACCACCAUUAUACUAACGAGAAAAACCUA